rnacentral:rRNA from 1 species
AGGGUUUGAUCAUGGCUCAGGAUGAACGCUGGCGGCGUGCUUAACACAUGCAAGUCGAACGGGAUCCUUUCUAGCUUGCUAGGGGGGUGAGAGUGGCGAACGGGUGAGUAACGCGUGAUUAACCUGCCGUGUAGUUUGGAAUAGCUCCUGGAAACGGGUGGUAAUGCCGAAUGUUCCACGUGCUCGCAUGGGUGUGUGGGAAAACGUUUUAGUGCUAUGCGAUGGGAUCGCGUCCUAUCAGCUUGUUGGUGGGGUAGUGGCCUACCAAGGCUUCGACGGGUAGCCGGCCUGAGAGGGCGACCGGCCACAUUGGGACUGAGAUACGGCCCAG